GUGCAGCCUGUCAUGUAAGGGAAGGUGCAGCAGCGAUGAGGCAACAUUGCAUCCAGGAAGCAGAGAGACGCAAGCCGGUGCUCAGCUCACAUUCUCUUUUUCAUCCAGUCGGAGAUCUGCAUGGCACAUCUUAAUUUGCUUUCCAUUGCUGUGAUAGACAUUGUGACUAGAAACGACUCGGGGAGAGCACAGUUUAUUUGGCUUACAUGUCCUGACCCUGCUCCAUCAUGGAGGGAAGUUAGGAUGGGACGUUAAGGAAGAGAGAGGCAGAAACCAUAUCGAAAACCUGCUUUCUAGCUUCCUCUGAGGCUUACACUCAGCUCCCUUUCAUUUGCCUCCCAGGGCUGAAUGCUUCGAGGGAGCAACAUCCAUUGUGCCUGGGCCCUCCACAUGAAUCAUUAUCCAAGAAAAUGCUGCACAGAUCUGCCAAAGACAAUCUGAUGGAGGCAUUUUCUCAGUUGAGGUUGCCUCUUCCCAGAAGACCCUAGCUUGUGUCAAGUCAACAAAAACACUAAUCAGCACAAGACUCGGCUUCCUGGGGAUUCCAUGUGGCCAAAGGAAGGGAAGAGAAAUCUAAGUGUGAAGGUGACCUGUGAUGUGGCAUACUUUGAACCCCUCUAAACAACUUCUGAAAUAAACAAACAUCCACGAGCCCCCUCAACAACUUAACAGCCCAUGAACUGGAAGCGUCAUCAACAGGAAAGAGACAGACAGGAUAUAUUCCAAGCGAGUGGUAUGGGGGACUGGGUUCCUUAAAAGAACCAUCUAGAAUGUGGAAAACAAGAACUGAUAGACAUGGACUCUACAGUAGAACCCAGAAGAAUCUGAGAAAGUAGGAUGUGACAUGGGGGUAUCUCAUUAUGGAGUCUUUAGAGCCACUAAGUUUCUAAACCAAUCUAUUCCCAUGGGGGAAACUGAGGCUCCAGAUGAGGGAACAGGUCAAUCAAGCAUAUUUUGGUCAUAAAUGACAGAAAUCAUGGUCCCAAGGAAGCCUGAGGUACAGCCCAGGUAGGGGUGGAGUGGGAGGAGAGUCUGGCAGCUGUGAUGACAGAACGUAGCCCACCUGUAGGCAACCCCAACCCUGCGAGCCUUCUUCCCCAAAGCGCUGCCGUAAUUCAUCUUUAAUUUCUGCCAUUGGGUCUGCAGAGCAGCUAAUCAUGAGCGCUAAUUACUGCGACAAGGCUUCUCCCUUCUCUUUUUAUGUUUCCAUAUUAGCCUGUUUAGUAUGCUUUGUGUCUGUUUAUUUUAUGGCCGGAAAUACUUUUAAUAGCCUAGUAAAUUGAAAAUGGACUUCACGACCAUCUGACUUCACCGGAGUUUUACAACCAUUCAAUUAAUGGUAUCAGUAAUCUUCCUUCAUAAUUAGGCGGUUAGUAGCUUUGUCGAGCACUGCUGUUAACUAAAUUAGAACUCAGUAACCACCUAAUCGUAUUUUGGGGGGCUCCAAAUGGGAAUCCAGCCAGCUUGGGGGCUGCCAGGAUGGAAAGACACGAUUAGCUGGCUGUAAAUACCGCCUGCAAAUAUAUGGUUUAUUACGGUGAUAACGGGCUUUGUAGCUCACAUAAAUCUGCGGGUUCCCGCUGACAGAGGAGAAAUGGGCUCGCCUUGGUUGCUAGGAAAUAGAGUUAGUUCCUGGGUCUCACAUGCUCCAUUGCCUUCUCCUGGCAGCUGAUGGAUUCUCUACAUGAGGGGGAGCUGCCAAGAGCCACCCCACGGUGGAGGGAGAGGGCAUCGAAUCCGCUUCCCUCUGGAGUCCACACCCAAGUGAGUCCACUCCACAUAAGCUGUGCCGGUGAACAGAGCACACAGCCAUGGAUAAAAGACACUGGGGACCGGAAGCUAGAUGAGAGCCCGGAGAAGGCCACAGUGGAUUGUGAGCGUCAGAAAACAAUCCCAGUGCCUCAUCUGCCCAAGAUUGGCUGCCAACUGUCACACUUUGCAAGGAGACAGAUUGCUGAAGUGUAUGAGAACUGGUAACUGCUGCCUCUCACUCAUGUGAUCCUAUUUCCAUCUAUUUACACCAAUUAGCUCCCCCAGAUGUAUGGGAUAAGGAAAACGUCACUUUUUUUAAAAAAUACAUAAAUUUUCCUUGUUAGAUAUAGCUUAAUAGCCCAAAUAUUUUUCAUAAUAGAAAAGCAAAAAAGACUAACUGCAUAGGUAAUUUAUCCAAUUAGAUGCGUGACACUCCCCUAAAUGUCCAGAGAACUGGUUCAAAACCCUGACUAAUGCUCUAUGCACCCCCCAAAAAAACCCACCAACUGUGUCUGCCAGCUUUCAAAUCUCGUAAACUCAGGAAGUCGGUCAAAAUUUGAACUUUGACUGACUUGCUUUUGGAUAACAAGAAACACUGGGUAGACAUUUGGGGAAGAAGCAUUUUGUAGGGCAGGGAAAACCAUAUAUGUUCUGUGGGCUGCACUGCUCUGUUGCCUUGCGUCAGGAGGUCAGUGCGACAGAAGAAAAGCUGUCUGCUAUGAUAGUGCCCCUGAACACUAGCUGUGUGACUCUAGGCAACUUGCGCAUCCUCCGUGGAUCUGGGUUUUCAGUCGUAACGUGGGAUCGUCUUCCCUCAAAGAAUCGUCAGGGUGAUGAAAGGAAACGACAGAACAGGAAACAUUUGCCCCAGGAGCAUCUUUGCAGAUCAAGUCCAUUCCUUUCUCCUUCUCUCACUCCCUAAAAUACCCAAGCAGACCCUACUCCCUUCCAUCCAGCUCAGCAAAGGCCGUGUUCUCUAGAAGACUCAAUGACUCCCAUGCUCAAGACACUGUUGGCCCCGGGAAUUUCCUAGUUCUCCAUAAGGCAUGUCAGGGGCUGGGGUGUCUUCUGUGAUCUGCACAGAGAGUCCCCAGUGGUUCUGUGGUGGGCCUUCCCUGAAAAAAAAAAAACCUCCAGAAAGAUGGCGACACUUCAUGACUCCAGGAGACAGAAGAGCAGGAAUCAACUCCAUGACUGAGAAACUGAAGAGAAAGUGCUGUACUAUGGCCAAGUGAUGGUGAGCUAGCCAGUCCUCUCAGAAUCAAAUCGGGUGACACUGACUGACCUCUAAGGGCUGCAGAAAACCCCCCUCUACCCCUCAAGCCCUGCUUGUCUACUUUCAACUUCCCUCCCCUUAUCGCUGUGUACGUGUGUAUGUUUGUGUGUACUUAUCUGUGUGUCUGUGUAUAUAUGUGUAUAUGUGUGUAGGUACACAUGCACAAAGCACAUAUAUAUGGAAGCCAGAGGAUAAGCUUGGGUAUUUUUCAUCAGGCAUCAUCCAACUUGUUUUUUUGAGGCAGGGUCUUUCGUUGGCCUGGAACUCACAAAGUAUGCCAGGCUGGCUGCCCAGUGAGUACCCAGGACCUAUCUGUCUUCACCUCCUCACUGGUGGGGUUACAAGGACACACCACCAUUUUAAUGAUUUUUAUGUGGGCUUGAACUCAAGCCAUUGCACUUGCCUUUCUAGCGCUUUACUGACUGACUGGCCUUCCCAGCUCUUUCCUUAGUUCUAGGCAGGAUCUCUGUAGUCUGCCCAGUCUGGCCUUGAACUCUCGGGCUCCGACAGCCCUUCUACCUCAGCUUCUCCAGUAGCUGAGACUGCCAGUGUGUGUCACCAUGCCUGGCUCGGCUCACCUGUAUCAUCUGGAAGAAGCUA